AAACUUACCUGGCUGGGAAGCAUCUCGUGAUCAGGAAGACGGGACUUCCAUGGUGAGGUUUGGCCACUGCACUUUCGGCCCGGCUGACCCGUGCGUCAUUCCCGAGUUGGGAAUGGUCGACAGCAUAAUUUUUGUGUUUGGGGGAGCGUUCGCGCUCCCCUG
rnacentral:snRNA from 1 species